GAUGAACGCUGGCGGCGUGCCUAAUACAUGCAAGUCGAGCGAACAGACGAGGAUCUUGCUCCUCUGACGUUAGCGGCGGACGGGUGAGUAACACGUGGAUAACCUACCUAUAAGACUGGGAUAACUUCGGGAAACCGGAGCUAAUACCGGAUAAUAUAUUGAACCGCAUGGUUCAAUAGUGAAAGACGGUUUUGCUGUCACUUAUAGAUGGAUCCGCGCCGCAUUAGCUAGUUGGUAAGGUAACGGCUUACCAAGGCAACGAUGCGUAGCCGACCUGAGAGGGUGAUCGGCCACACUGGAACUGAGAAACGGUCCAGACUCCUACGGGAGGCAGCAGUAGGGAAUCUUCCGCAAUGGGCGAAAGCCUGACGGAGCAACGCCGCGUGAGUGAUGAAGGUCUUCGGAUCGUAAAACUCUGUUAUUAGGGAAGAACAAAUGUGUAAGUAACUAUGCACGUCUUGACGGUACCUAAUCAGAAAGCCACGGCUAACUACGUG
rnacentral:rRNA from 1 species